UACGUAGGCAGCAAGCGUUGUUCGGAGUUACUGGGCGUAAAGGGGGUGUAGGCGGUUCUUUAAGUUUGGUGUGAAAUCUCCCGGCUCAACCGGGAGGGUGCGCCGAAUACUGAGGGACUAGAGUGCGGGAGAGGAAAGUGGAAUUCCUGGUGUAGCGGUGAAAUGCGUAGAUAUCAGGAGGAACACCGGUGGUGUAGACGGCUUUCUGGACCGUAACUGACGCUGAAACACGAAAGCGUGGGUAGCAAACAGG
rnacentral:rRNA from 1 species